AGGCAAUGUACGCAUGCUUUGAAAAUAGCAGGUUCCUUGGGAGUAUGCAACCUGAUUCAUGUAUGAGUUGCCCUAAGUGAUCUUGGAGAUGGUU
ensembl:snoRNA Gm22603 predicted gene, 22603